rnacentral:lncRNA from 1 species
AAAACUCAAUUCAGAAUCUGAAGGAACGGGUCUUUUGAAAUAGAUUUUUUAUUCUUUUGUGUAUUGUGUAUCAAUGCCAAUUCAAAGUGAAAUUGUUAUGAAUUUUCUCAUUUUAGCUUUCCAACUUAGGUGAUUCCUCCCAGUUCUCACGAGGCCAAGUUCGUUAGUUUUCUUUUCUUUCUCUGUACGAAAAAUUACUCUUUUUCGCUCUCUUGUCCUUUCAAUUAUCAAUAUUAAUUCAUCAUGGAUAUCGACCCAGUUGCUGCGUUAUUGAAUGAAGUCGACGCUCAGAGCCUGGACCCUUUACCAGCGCACAGAAGAGACUUGUUGCGUACCUUAUGUAUUUACCUCAUGGCAAAAUUCGGGAACAGCACGGAAGAAGCGUUUCGCAAAAUAUGUUUAGAAUUAAUGAAGAAAGUAGUCAAUGCAAAAGUUGAUCCGGCGGUCAAUGUCAAGGUGGAGGAGUGCAAAAUUGAGGGUUCUGAGGAGGGUCCACAGGAUGCGCAUCAACUUUUACAAGCAAUAAAGGCAGAAAUAAAGGAGGAAGAAGACAAUUGAAAAUAUUUGCUGCCUGCUUGCCUGCGUACCUACGAGGGUGGAUUUUAAAGCAAUUUUACCAAGGGAACUCACUAAGUCAGCAUUAAAAUAUUUUCAGAUUUUUAGCAAGCCAUAGUUUUUUUAAAUUUGGUCCAAGCGUUGCAGAAAAAUCAUGAAUUUUCUAUACUCUUCUUCCAAUUUGCCCUUUUUUCAUGUGCUGCAGAACUUCACAGGAAAAUAAGUUGAAAUCUGGAUUAAAGAAAAUUUGAGUCCAUAUCAUAUUUAAUGAAGUCAGUAUUAUUUUAAAGUAUUUUACCUUACUUUUCGACGAUCUUACUCGUCAGUUCCUUGCAUUCUGCAUAUCGGUACAACAUACGAAUUCUGGUUUUGUAAAACUCUUUGUUCAUAUUCCUGAGAUGGAUGCUGAUGCAAAAUAUCACACCUGCAGUACUACUAAAACAUUUGUCUCCAAGAAAUUUCUUCAGUUCCUGAAAAAGCUGGAGAUCACUGGGCAUUAGGUCUGGAAAGUAGAGUGGAUGUGGAAAUAUUUUGCACAUACUUAAACGUAUCCAGCCUGCAUCAACACCUGACUCAGGAAUAUGGACCAAGAGUUUUACGUAACUGGUAUUCAGAAGUCAUUGCAUCGUUAUGAAAAAUGCAAGAGUUUGGAGGGAAGGGGGGGGGGGUGAGUUCGUCGACGAGCAUGAGGUAAAAUAUUGCUCAAAAGUCUGUUAACUCCAUCCAUACUGUGAUAAUAACUCUAAUUUGCUUUCCUUCAAACUCCUAACUUAUUUUUCUUAGAGGUUCUACAGUGCAUGAAAAAGGGGAUCUUUGAAGGAGAGGUAAGCGUAAGAAAUCCUGGAUAUCUCUGCAAUGCGAUGACCAAUUUUAAAAAAACAAUAGCUUCUUGGAAAGCUGAAAGUAUGUUGAACGCUGGUUUGGCUAUUUCUCUUGCAUUGAUGGCUCUUCAGAAUAAAAUAG